rnacentral:lncRNA from 1 species
AGAGAAAUUCUGACUCAUUUCUCCAGAUUGUAGGAUACUGCACCUUUGUCUACACAGUAAGAAUUUUAGGCAUCAUAAGAAUGAGUGGCUACAUUUUUAAACUCUUCAGUUUCAGGAGCAUAGAAUUAUUUGUGAAAAAUCUACACUAUAGAAUAGAUUACACUUUGAAAACCCUGAUACACAGUGCCAGGGUAUAGUUGUAUUUAGAAUAUUCAUACAUUCAAUUUGUCUGGACAGUCCUGGAUUUUUUCCUCUUCUCCUGACAUAGUUAUUCAUAAAUUUCCCUUUUACCUUAAAAAGAAUCCUGCUUUGUAUUAUAAAUUAUAUAGUCACCUUAGCUAUAGUGCCUAUGUUAUAUCUAUAUAUUUUCUUCAAAUUAAUUCCACAGCUUUGCUUUAAAUAAGAGCUAAAUUGAUUCCCACUAAAUCCUGAGAGUGACUUGAGGAGCUAUUACUUUCAAAAUACACUGGUUUCUGGAAUACCAUUCUGGAAUUGGUACAAUGUAGCUGAAAGAUAGCUGUUCAGAAAAAAAUUGUAAAAGCCUAAGUUACUCAGACUGCUGACAUUUUCAGGGCAACCAUACCUAAAACAAAAUGAAUUUCAGCAUUUCAAAAUAGGUCUAAAAAUAAAUUAAAUUAUACAGAAUUUGAUUGAGGCCAUAAUCACCAAAAUAAAGUCCCCAGAAGUUCAUGUUUUAAAUUUUCAAGAAAUACUGCCAAUAUUUUUCUUUAACUACUGACGUCAAAAUUCAAUUCACAUUUUUUACUUAGUCAUACAUGUGGCUCCAAAUUUCCUUUCCAGCAUAACACUCAUGAGCCUAGCAACUUCAUUUGUAUUUUUAACCCAAUCUCUUUUCACAUUUUUUAAAAUGUUCAUAUUGUUUUAUUUGUUAACACUUACAUUUCACUUACUAGGUAUCAGAAGAUUUUGUAAGUAAGAGCUUUUAUAAAAAUAGGCACAUUUAGUCCUCAUAAAUCCCUGUAAGUAGGCCCUUACUAUUAUCAGAGCCCCAUUUCACUGAUGAUGAAGCUGAGGUCAGGGCAGUUAGAUAACUAGAUCACAAGAUGAAUAUUCAAGAUUUAGACCCAGGCACCUAACUAAAGAGCCCAUGACGUUAGCCACUAUGCUGUGUUCCUUCUUUAUCAUCCCUUUAAAUAGGCAAGUGGCAACUUCCAUAUUAUUGAAGUAGUGACAGAUCAAACGGUGAAGAGAGUCUGCCUCAUGUUUAAUUAACUAAUUAAUUAAUUUAAGUUAUUUGCUGAGCAGCUACUUUUGGCAAGGCACUGCAUUAGGCACUGGAGAAACAGAGAUGAAUUUAACUUAUUUCUAAAACACCAGAAGAUUUGAAAGAUCAGGGGCCUCCAAAUUUAAAACAUUUAAAUGUCUAAAACCUAGAAAUAAUUUACAUUUUUCCAUCGAGAUGGAACUGGUUCUAUGUCAAAUAUGUAUGCACUAUGUGUCUUAGAGAACCUAAAUGGGCAGGAGUGGCUUGAGGUGGUACAGGAGAGUUCUGGGAGGAUGGGCUCUGAAAGAACACAAGCUACAUACACUUAAAUCACAGCUUUGUUACAUGCUACUUGGGUAGCCUUGGGAAAGCUUACUGACUUCAUCUUUUCAAUCUGUAAAAUAGGAAUAAUCAAACACCUACUUAAUAAGAUAUUAUGAGGAUUGGGAAAAAAUUUCAGAAUAGUACUGGCACAUUGUAAGUGCCCAAUAAAUGACAGUUAUUAUUACUAUCAUUUAAAGUGUCCAUAACAUACUCUGCUACUUAAUUCAUCCCAGUUACAUAGUUAUAGAAUAAAUAUAAAUUGUCAUAGAUAAUUUAGCAAGCCCAGUCUUCAAACUCAUCAUCAAGAUACCAGUGUACAUAAAUAUAAAUAAACUAAAAUCACCAAAAAGAAAAAAAUCCAGGAUCUGAGUUUUCACUUGAGCUAUGCUUAAACUAGGUGUGGGGAUAGGGAGGAGGUGAUUAUUCCAAUUCUGGAACAAUGGAAUCGAUAGCAAGGAGGCCUUGCCCGGUUAUAUUAUAAUGUCAUUACUUCAGACAACAUUUUCUGUUUUUUUUUGUGCAUUUUUCUUGGAAUCUUUAACUGAAAUCCACACAUAUUAGUUCUGCUGGAUUGGCAAUAAAAUGCCUGGAAUUUCUAGUUUUUAUCUAGGUAUUCCAACAUUCAGCUAAAAUAAUUAAAAGGUAUGUUUCAUCUACAUUUUUUUAUAUUUUAAUGCUAUGUUCUCAGAUAUUCUAACUGAAAUCUCUAAGCCCUCUCUUUCGAAAAAAAAUUUUUAAGUGUUACCAGUGAUUUUUCAAAUGCCAUAUAGGAAGUAUUUAUCAAAUUACUCUUGCCUAUUCAUUUACACGUAAGAUUAAUUUUCAUUUCUAUAGCUGAGCUGUACUUCAACUGAACAUUUAGCUUUAUUUUCUAUUACUGAAGGAAAAUCAAGAAUAUUAUAAAACUCUUACUUGGUAAAAAUCUAGAAAACAUAAUCAGUAUCCCUCACAUUUUCAAAAAUUUAGAUUAAUAACAAAAAGUACUGAUAGAACUCUUUUAAAUUAAUUAUGCUCCAGAGGGAAAUUAAUUAUUGAAGUUACUGGCCCCCUCAAAGGAGCCAAUAAUUAAAAUGAAUGUUGUAUAAUAACUAACUCACACUAUGCUCACAUUGUUGUGAAUAUAUUUAAAAUAAUGAAUGUUGGUGGGUAUGAAAUUUCAGUAGGAUACCUGCCCACUCUAGAAACAUGAACUGUGCUAAGAAACAAGUCCUGCAAUUUUAGAGUGAGAAUUGAACUGAAGCCGGGAAACAGGGCAAAAGGAUCAUUUUGUGGCCCCCACAAAAUCAUUAGUGGAUUUUAUGUAGUCCUUCACUGGGGGAGCAAAUUUUGAGAAGAGCAGUUUGGGAAUCCAUAAAUCCUACUGAGUCUUGGUUAAGCGACAUUCAUUAUAAAGAACACCUGGAGGGAAGACCUGAGAAUUGAGUCACAGCUAGAAAGAUCAGAUUACCUGGGCUCUGCGUGUCUUGAUUAAGGCAGCCUAGGAAGAGAAUGAUCUUUCUCUGCAGUCAUUUCAGUAAUAUUAUAUUGGGAUAAAGUUAGCAGUUUAUCGAAUACUAUGCUGUUUCUGUUGCUUACAUAUUUCCUCACUUAUUGUGUAAUUUUGAAUAAUUGAUACCAUUUAUGGUUAUAAAUGCAUUUUGUUUCUAUUGAAUGCAUUUAUAUCCUAGCUGAAUGUUUAUUUAUCACAAGUUUAUUAACUUUCAUGCCUAUCAAUUUGGAAUUAGGCAGAACCAUAAAAAUUUAAAUACAUUUAUGUAUGUGUAUACAUAUUCAAAUGCAAACUAUUGAAUAUGAAUUUUUCCCUAAUCAAGAUUUUCAUCAUAGUUUACGCAGAUAAUAAGCAAUAUUGAAAAUAAUUUAAAACAACUCAUGCUAAAUUAAAGGGAGAAAAAAAUUCUAGGAACACUGCUAAGUAGUCAAUAAUUGAUACUAGGUUCUGAAUCUGAGGCUUGGAAAACUGCCAGGAAAUCCGCUCAAAUGAAAGUGUGAAUAUGAAAAGCAGUUUUUGGAAGAGGGAUCCUGGUGUGAGAAGGGGCAUCUAAACAGGACAGUUCCACAGAUCCAAAGGUUUGGUAAUAUUGAGCACUGAUUUCUCUAAAUAAAUACUUUGAGCAUGUUUUUGUUCAUUUGUUCUUUUAUUGGCUUAUUUAUUUAUUUAUUUAUUUUGCUUUUUGGUUACACCCCCAGCAUGUGGGAAGUUACCAGGCCAGAGACAGAACCCACACCACACUAGUGGUGACAAUGCCAGAUCCUAACCACUAUGAAAUGUGCAAUUAAGUAGACAAUAAUUUGACAAGAGGUACCAAAGGUUUUUAAGAUAUACAAUCUUACCAGCAAUUAUACUUCUAGGAGUAUAUACUAAGGAAAAAAUCUGUACGUUUUUACAACUGUGAAGAGUUGGAAAUAGUAGGGUUCAAGAAGAUGGUAUUGUUGGUAAUAUGUUAUUUCCUUCAAUGCAAUACUUAAAUAAUUUAUGGACUAGCCAUGUAAUGAAUAUUAAAAAAUCAUUAAAACAUACACAUGUUCAGGAUAAAUUUUUCAUUGAGGAAAACAGGCUAGAGUUUCAUAUAUAUAUGAUGCUAUCCUGAUCAUAUUAAAAAAAACAUUUGUGUGCAUGUGUGAGCGUAUGUGUACAUGUGUAUUUUUGUAGAAAAUUUAUAGACAGAAUACAUGCCAUCAUUUAAACAGUGGCUUUCUUUUAGGGUCAAGAUUAUAGGUCUUUUUUUUCUCCUUUUCUAACUUUUUGACAGUGGAGUUAAAUCACUUUGGGAAACAGUAGAGACAUGAAGUCCUUGUUGAGGUGGUGAAAUCCCUGUAUCAGGAUGUGACUGAUGAAGUGUCUGCUGAUACCACACAGGCCUUACAAUCUGAAUCCAUGACUCAGAGUUGAGGCAAAAGAAUGAAAUGUGUUUGAAGACACAUAUUUUCGUGUGUGGAGAAAAGAGAAAAGGACAUCAGAAUA